CCUACGGGAGGCAGCAGUGAGGAAUAUUGGUCAAUGGGCGGGAGCCUGAACCAGCCAAGCCGCGUGAGGGAAGAAGGUACAGCGUAUCGUAAACCUCUUUUGUCAGGGAACAAAGGCGGGGACUAGUCCCCGGAUGAGGGUACCUGAAGAAAAAGCAUCGGCUAACUCCGUGCCAGCAGCCGCGGUAAUACGGAGGAUGCGAGCGUUAUCCGGAUUUAUGGGGUUUAACGGGUGCGCAGGCGGCCUUGUAAGUCAGCGGUAAAAGCCCGGGGCUCAACCCCGGCGAGCCGUGGAAACUGGGGGGCUGGAGUUGGAGAGAAGUACGCGGAAUGCGCGGUGUAGCGGUGAAAUGCUUAGAUAUCGCGCAGAACACCGAUGGCGAAGGCAGCGUACCGGCUCCAAACUGACGCUGAGGCACGAAAGCGUGGGUAUCGAACAGGAUUAGAUACCCUAGUAGUC
rnacentral:rRNA from 1 species